CAUGCAGGUUGGCUGUACUUCCCUGAAGAGUCUCAUUAUCCUUCCUAAUGAAGUAAACAGCACAGCUACAAUUUUCAAGAACAACUGAAUAUUUUUGUUUUUACCACUAAGCAUGCCUUCACGUUUGUUUCCUAGGUUGGAAUCAAUGCCUGCACCAGGAAGACAACUCAACACAACUUUCCUUUAAUAAGUCAGCAGCCUCAGAAGAUGUAGCACACAGAUACCCUGACCUGCUUAUCACACAGCUGACUCUCAUCUUUCAAGGAGGUUAUGAUGAUCUACCAGAUUACACUCUGGCAUGAAACUGGAACGUGAAGCUUUACAUGGUUCCUAGCAACACAGGUUGCAAUGGGAUCACUAGAAUAAAAGCAUGCAGAAAUAAAAAAGGAGGACUUUC
rnacentral:lncRNA from 1 species